AUGGAGUCGUGGAAGCUGGCCCGCGAGCGGAGUCAUCGCAAGGAGGGCGAGAGCCAGUACUAUGGCAAGACCGAGGAGCACCUGGGGUCUUACAUUCAUCACUAUCAGGAGUUGCAUCCGGAUGUUCCUGUUGCUGAGGUCGCCCAGUCUCAGAUCGACGACACGGCGGUGGUGGCCAUCCAGGGGAAGAAGAAUGGUCGGUAUCCGUGUUUCGACGACUUGAUCACUCCUUCGAUCUCGUACACACAGCUUCGGGCUACCAACCCGAGCCAGUUAGAGAGUACGGGGCGUUCACAGACUCCCUUAGCCCGCCAGCAUGCU
rnacentral:rRNA from 1 species